rnacentral:rRNA from 1 species
AGUCGAGGGGUAACAGGGAUUGCUUGCAAUCCGCUGACGACCGGCGAACGGGUGCGUAACGCGUAUGCAACCUACCUUUUUCAGGGGGAUAGUCAAUAGAAAUGUUGAAUAAUACCCCAUAAUAUUAUUAAUCCGCAUGGAUUGAUAAAGAAAGCUCCGGCGGAAAAAGAUGGGCAUGCGUCCUAUUAGUUAGUUGGUAAGGUAACGGCUUACCAAGACAUCGAUAGGUAGGGGUCCUGAGAGGGAGAUCCCCCACACUGGUACUGAGACACGGACCAGACUCCUACGGGAGGCAGCAGUGAGGAAUAUUGGACAAUGGAGGCAACUCUGAUCCAGCCAUGCCGCGUGCAGGAAGACGGCCCUAUGGGUUGUAAACUGCUUUUAUACAGGAAGAACUGUAUCUACGUGUAGAUACUUGACGGUACUGUACGAAUAAGGAUCGGCUAACUCCGUGCCAGCAGCCGCGGUAAUACGGAGGAUCCAAGCGUUAUCCGGAAUCAUUGGGUUUAAAGGGUCCGUAGGCGGUCUGAUAAGUCAGAGGUGAAAUCCUGCAGCUCAACUGUAGCAUUGCCUUUGAUACUGUUAGACUUGAGUUAUUGUGAAGUAGUUAGAAUGUGUAGUGUAGCGGUGAAAUGCAUAGAUAUUACACAGAAUACCGAUUGCGAAGGCAGAUUACUAACAAUAUACUGACGCUGAGGGACGAAGCGUGGGUAGCGAACAGGAUUAGAUACCCUGGUAGUCCACGCCGUAAACGAUGGAUACUAGCUGUUCGAUCAACAUU